rnacentral:rRNA from 1 species
UACGUAGGAGGCGAGCGUUGUCCGGAGUUACUGGGCGUAAAGGGUGCGCAGGCGGCGGUUCGCGUGGCGAGAUGAAAUCUCCUGGCUUACCUGGGAGGGUGGUCGCCAGACGGGAUCGCUUGAGGGUCGGAGAGGGGCGUGGAAUUCCGGGUGGAGCGGUGAAAUGCGUAGAGAUCCGGAGGAACACCGACGGCGUAGGCAGCGCCCUGGGCGACACCUGACGCUGAGGCACGAAAGCUAGGGGAGCAAACAGG